CGUGCACGUCGCGACUGGCGCACCCGCGCCCCGCACGCCGCCCUCCGGGGAGGCCGCGGGACGGACGGGGAUGGUGGAUCACCACCGGGGAGCGGCAUGCUGUGUAGACGACGGGUCGUUCGCCUGGGCCCCGGGU
rnacentral:ncRNA from 17 species